GGAAUUGUUCGCAAUGGGCGCAAGCCUGACGAAGCAACGCCGCGUGGAGGAUGAAGGCCUUCGGGUCGUAAACUCCUGUCGACCGGGACGAAAGUAGUCCGACCCAAUACGUCGGGCUACCGACUGUACCGGUGGAGGAAGCCACGGCUCACUCUGUUCCAGCAGCCGCGGUAAUACAGAGGUGGCAAGCGUUGUUCGGAAUUACUGGGCGUAAAGGGCGCGUAGGCGGUCGGGAAAGUCCUGUGUGAAAUCCCUCGGCUCAACUGAGGAACUGCACAGGAAACUGCUCGACUUGAGUUCGGGAGAGGGAAGCGGAAUUCCGGGUGUAGCGGUGAAAUGCGUAGAUAUCCGGAGGAACACCGGUGGCGAAGGCGGCUUCCUGGACCGACACUGACGCUGAGGCGCGAAAGCUAGGGGAGCAAA
rnacentral:rRNA from 1 species